rnacentral:rRNA from 1 species
UACGUAGGGGGCUAGCGUUGUUCGGAAUUACUGGGCGUAAAGCGUGCGCAGGCGGCUUCUCAAGUCAGGGGUGAAAGCCCAGAGCUCAACUCUGGAAUUGCCUUUGAGACUGAGUGGCUUGAGUACGAGAGAGGUGAGUGGAAUUCCCAGUGUAGAGGUGAAAUUCGUAGAUAUUGGGAAGAACACCGGUGGCGAAGGCGGCUCACUGGCUCGUAACUGACGCUCAUGCACGACAGCGUGGGGAUCAAACAGG